rnacentral:rRNA from 1 species
UGCGUAGACGGUAAUGUAAGUCAGAUGUGAAAGCCCCGGGCUCAACCUGGGAAUUGCAUUUGAGACUGCAUUGCUUGGGUGCGGAAGAGGGAAGCGGAAUUUCCGGUGUAGCGGUGAAAUGCGUAGAUAUCGGAAGGAACACCAGUGGCGAAAGCGGCUUCCUGGUCCGACACCGACGUUCAGGCACGAAAGCGUGGGGAGCAAACAGGAUUAGAUACCCUGGUAGUCCACGCCAUAAACGAUGAGAACUAGACGUUGAGAGGGUAAGCCUCCCAGUGUCGUAGCUAACGCGCUAAGUUCUCCGCCUGGGGAGUACGGCCGCAAGGUUGAA